rnacentral:rRNA from 1 species
UUGGACCUGAUAUCAGACAAGACUACCCGCUGAACAUUAAGCCUAUCAUAAGGCGGAAGGAAACACACCCUCAAAGAAAAUAAGGUUUCAUCUUUCUCCACGAACAAACGAUCUCCUAGCAAAAGGUGUGC